GACGAACGCUGGCGGCGUGCCUAAUACACGCAAGUCGAGCGAAGUUUUUCUGGUGCUUGCACUAGAAAAACUUAGCGGCGAACGGGUGAGUAACACGUAAAGAACCUGCCUCAUAGACUGGGACAACUAUUGGAAACGAUAGCUAAUACCGGAUAACAGUAUUUCUCGCAUGAGAGAUAUUUAAAAGUUGGUUAUGCUAACACUAUGAGAUGGCUUUGCGGUGCAUUAGCUAGUUGGUGGGGUAAAGGCCCACCAAGGCGACGAUGCAUAGCCGACCUGAGAGGGUGAUCGGCCACACUGGGACUGAGACACGGCCCAGACUCCUACGGGAGGCAGCAGUAGGGAAUCUUCCGCAAUGGGCGAAAGCCUGACGGAGCAACGCCGCGUGAGUGAAGAAGGAUUUCGGUUCGUAAAGCUCUGUUGUUAGGGAAGAAUGGAUAUGUAGUAACUAUACAUGUAAGAGACGGUACCUAACCAGAAAGCCACGGCUAACUACGUG
rnacentral:rRNA from 1 species